AGCUUCAAAGGGAUUUGAAGGGUGGUGACAGGCUCCAGCCCAGACUGCGCCUCGGAAUGCAGACGCUUCUCUGCCUAGAACCUGGCCCGGCCCUAUGGGAAAGCCCCGGUUCUCGGCGGCACUGAACUGGCUUUCCAGUUUUCCACGGGGGCCCCAAGGAACGCCUGCGGCUGGAAUUCCCCGGGAGACAGGGAGCUGUAACAAUAGAGGUUCAUAUUCUAAAGAGAGCAGGCACUGAGCAAAUGUUUGUUGAACUGAACCAAUCUGCUAGUUAUGGGGACAUGACCUCCACUUCAUGGUGUUGAACUAAACAAACACAUACUUCUCCAGACAAAUAUUAAAACUGGUGAACUUCAAAAUAACGUGAAAAGCUCCUAUGUUUCCAUGCCUCAUUAUAUGCCACAAAAAAUCAAAUGAUAACGAGAACAAAGCUUUGCCAGUGUGUGGUUUGGGAGUUCUGUGAAGUGUUUGCAGUCGCUACUAAUAAUCCAGGUGACACGGCAAACAUUGCAGUUCCUAGGUCCAGCACAAUUAGAGGAGGGUUCACUCGUAGGCAGCAUCUGAGCAACAGGCUCACCAGACUUCAGCCUCUUCACUCCGACUCUUCCACGCUCCAGCUCUCUUCAUUAAGAUAUUCUAGAAGCAACUGAGGAGUUUCUACAAACAUUUUGGAAAUUACAGGAGGUCAAGUGGAAGUUUGUUUUCAUUUCAGUUAAGGUACGAGUUGUUCUGACUGCUGUGCAGACAUUCACACGCCCGCUGCUAGAAAGCUGGAGCUGGAAGGAGCAUUGGGGCCCGCUGAGUCCUCCUUUCUCAUGUAUGGAUGCGGAUGUGGAGGCAGGCCCUAAGUCUUAGUGUAGGUGCCGAUGGUGCAGGUUGACUCACUUAAAGAAGAAUUUGAAUCAUUAUCUAACAGAAAAAGAUCAAUAACAAGCAUUAUUGCUGGAACAUUCUAUGGAUAGACUGCUUUCUAUACAUGAUUGGUGAAUAUUGUAUUUCAAUUAAUUAUAUAUCCUGAUAAUAUAUGAAUUAAUACUGUGAUAUCCUGCAUACAAUAACAAUAAUCAAUGGAAAUAUAGUAAAACAGAAAUGAAAAUAAU
rnacentral:lncRNA from 10 species